rnacentral:tRNA from 1 species
GGGCCCGUGGCGCAACCAGGGAGCGCGACGGCUUUGCAAGCCGUAGGUUGCGGGUUCAAAUCCCGCCGUGCCCA